rnacentral:rRNA from 1 species
CCUGCCCAAGAGAUCGGGAUAACACCUGGAAACAGAUGCUAAUACCGGAUAACAAUAGAUGAUGCCUAUCAACUGUUUAAAAGAUGGUUCUGCUAUCACUCUUGGAUGGACCUGCGGUGCAUUAGCUAGUUGGUAGGGUAACGGCCUACCAAGGCGAUGAUGCAUAGCCUAGUUGAGAGACUGAUCGGCCACAUUGGGACUGAGACACGGCCCAAACUCCUACGGGAGGCAGCAGCU